GGAGAAGUACCCAAGUGGCCGAAGGGGCUCCCCUGCUAAGGGAGUAGUACGUUAACGCGUAGCCCGGGUUCAAAUCCCGGCUUCUCCGCCA
rnacentral:tRNA from 1 species